AUGGCAGCCGCGCACAGCGCGCACCCGAGCGGCCGGACCUCCCUGCCUCCCGGGCCGCCCCCCUCUCGCUCCCGGCCUCCCUCCUUCGGCCUUCACCUACACGCCUCCGGAUUGGCCGCCGGGAGUCCCGCCCCCCCGGGGCCCCGCCUGCUAUUGGUCACGGUAGGCUGCCCGUCCGAGAGGCGUGCCCCGCCGCCCCCCGCCCCCCGCCCCGGGAGGUAUUUUCCAUUCCGGUGGGGGUUGGGGGAGGGGGAGGGGGGAGGGGAGCGGGGGAAGGGGGUGGGGGCCUGGCGGGGGCAUCCGGCAGAGCUGGGGUCCCCGGGCUCCGUGCGGAGGCAGCGAGACCGCGCGCGGCCGGGCACCGGCGGGGACGGGACGGGACGGGAGCGGCGCGCGAGCGGGGGACUCGCCCUGUCGGUGACUGACUGCGCCGUCCGGGCCCGUCCGCCUGGCCGCAGGUGCCCCUGGAUGAGGCCGCCCCGCGCGCCGCAGCCGGUGAGUGUCCCCGCGGCCCGCGCCGCCGCUAGCGGCCGCCUGCCGGUCCUCCGGGCAGCCCGCCCCCGGCCGGCGCCUCCACGCCCCGGGCAGCGAGGCAGCGCCGGCCCCGCGGCCGGGCGGAGGCGGCGGGCGGGGACCGCGAGUCCGGGCCGCGAGCCCUUGCGCCCCGAGCUGCGCCCCGUGGGGCUUGCGCUUAGUAGGCUCUCGCGGCGUCCACGAGCAGUCGUUUGUCUGGUGGGAGGGAGGGACGAGGGGCGCCCCAGGGGAGGGGGUCGUCCGGGGCCAGCGGAGGGCGUCCGCGAUAGGGGUCGGAGCGAGGCCACCGGAGACUCGGGGCGCAGCCAGGCGCGCCGCGGGGAAGGGGCCGCCGGCCAGGUCCCGUGGGCUCCGAGGCUCCGGUCCGGGGGUCUUCAAGGUCGACGAGAAGCGGUCCAGCGGGAGCUGAGAGAGGGGACUGGGGUGUCGGAUGGGGAAGGGACCGGAGCCCCCCCCGGGGGGGGGGUGACCCGAGGUGGAAAGGGAUGCGCAGGCGGCCGCUGGAGGACCCUUCCGCAACUACUUGGGCUCCUGCUGGGCUCGGGUGCUGGGAUUUGGGCGUUCAAGUAG
rnacentral:lncRNA from 1 species